GCCCUCGUAGCCCAACGGUAGAGGCCCGGUUUUGAGGAAACCGACAGUGCGCGUUCGAAUCGCGCCGAGGGUAC
rnacentral:tRNA from 1 species